AUGAUGUAUUUAAGUAAAUUGUUUCUCUUGAACAAAAAAUGGCUUUGGUGGUAACUAUUAAGCAGCUUGUGGCAUGUGGACUGAACUUGCAAACAGAGAAGGUUUCACUGAUAUCGCUAUAAUAUCCAAAGGAUUAGAAUUUACAAAGUAUUUAUUUGAAGUAUGAAAUUUGAACCACGUUGAAUAACCAUUCUAUCAUGUUAGUUGGCAUUUCAAAAGACUAGAGAAUGAAAGGCAAGAAUCACACCCCUAAAAAGGAUAAAUUACAAUUUAGACCCUAAGGUUUUACAAAACUUAUAUUUUUAAAACCAAAUAAUUUAGUCUCUGAAAUUUGGCAAAACCCAUAAUUUAGUCCAUUGAUUUAAACUUUAUAAACAAAA
rnacentral:misc_RNA from 1 species